rnacentral:rRNA from 1 species
GACGAACGCUGGCGGCGUGCCUAAUACAUGCAAGUCGAGCGGACUUUCAAGAAGCUUGCUUUUUGAAAGUUAGCGGCGGACGGGUGAGUAACACGUGGGCAACCUGCCUGCAAGACGGGGAUAACUCCGGGAAACCGGGGCUAAUACCGGAUAAUAUCUUCCUUCGCAUGAAGGAAGGUUGAAAGGCGGCGCAAGCUGCCGCUUGCAGAUGGGCCCGCGGCGCAUUAGCUAGUUGGUGAGGUAACGGCUCACCAAGGCGACGAUGCGUAGCCGACCUGAGAGGGUGAUCGGCCACACUGGGACUGAGACACGGCCCAGACUCCUACGGGAGGCAGCAGUAGGGAAUCUUCCGCAAUGGACGAAAGUCUGACGGAGCAACGCCGCGUGAGCGAAGAAGGUCUUCGGAUCGUAAAGCUCUGUUGUCAGGGAAGAACAAGUACCGUUCGAACAGGGCGGUACCUUGACGGUACCUGACCAAAAAGCCACGGCUAACUACGUG